rnacentral:rRNA from 1 species
UACGUAGGGGGCAAGCGUUGUCCGGAAUCAUUGGCGUAAGGAGCGCGUAGGCGGUCCAGUAAGUCCGCUCUGAAAGUCCGGGGCUCAACCCCGGGAGGCGGGCGGAUAACUGCUGGGCUAGAGUCCGGAAGAGGGCGAGUGGAAUUCCUGGAUGUAGCGGUGAAAGUGACGCAGAGUAUCAGGAGGAACACCAAUGGCGAAGGCAGCUCGCUGGGACGGUACUGACGCUGAGGCGCGAAAGCGUGGGGAGCAAACAGG